CUGUAGCGAUAUGGCGAAGGGGCAGUAAUACAUGGGUAACCUACCCUGGGGAUGGGCAUAGCCGGUCUAACGGCCGGGUAAUACCCAGAGAUUCGGCGAGGAGGCAUCUUUUUGCCGGGAAAUGAAUUUCGCUUCGGGAGGGGUCCAUGAGCUAUCAGCUAGUUGGUGGGGUAGCGGCCUACCAAGGCUAAGACGGCUAGCGGGUGUGAGAGCACGACCCGCGCCACUGGCACUGAGACACUGGCCAGACACCUACGGGUGGCUGCAGUCGAGGAUCUUCGUCAAUGGGCGAAAGCCUGAACGAGCGAUGCCGCGUGAGCGAUGAAGGCCUUCGGGUUGUAAAGCUCAAAAGUGAAGAGAAAGGGAAACUUGAUCGAUUCACAGUAAGCUCGGGCUAAGUUCGUGCCAGCAGCCGCGGUAAGACGAACCGAGCGAACGUUGUUCGGAAUCACUGGGCUUAAAGGGCGCGUANGCGGGCAUUCAAGUCUGUGGUGAAAUCCUCCAGCUCAACUGGAGAACUGCCAUGGAUACUGGGUGUCUCGAGGGUGGUAGGGGUAUGCGGAACUAUCGGUGGAGCGGUGAAAUGCGUUGAUAUCGAUAGAACUCCGGUGGCGAAGCGGCUUACUGGGCCCAUCUGACGUGAAGCCGAAAGCCAGGGGAGCAAACGGGAUUAGAUACCCCGGUAGUCCUGGCCCUAAACGAUGGGUACUAGCUAGUAGGGUUCACAUGGCUUUACUGGCGAAGCAAAAGUGCUAAGUACCCCGCCUGGGGAGUAUGGUCGCAAGGCUGAAACUCAAAGGAAUUGACGGGGGCUCACACAAGCGGUGGAGCAUGUGGCUUAAUUCGAGGCUACGCGAAGAACCUUAUCCUAGACUUGACAUGUGCGAUAGCGUUGAGCGGUACGUCUCCGAAAGGAAGGCCGAUUCCCAGCAAUGGGAGGACUCAACACAGGUGCUGCAUGGCUGUCGUCAGCUCGUGUCGUGAGAUGUCGGGUUAAGUCCCAUAACGAGCGAAACCCU
rnacentral:rRNA from 1 species